CUCUGCAGCUUGUCCUAAAUGCUGCAGCACGUGUCCUGAAGAGAACCAGGUACAGAGACCACAUGUCUCCUGUGUUAGCUUCACUACACUGGCUUCCUGUUACAUUUAGAAUUUAAAAUCCCUCCUGCUGUGGUAGCGACGGCCGACACGCCCCCUUGCGGUUGCUGCGGUUCAUGGUCACAGUGAUGUACUUCCUCUUCUGGUGCAGCGAGGAGCUGAUGUGGACCAGCAGUCGGGACAGAUGAAGAACACAGCUCUGCAUGAAGCUGCAGCUCAGGGUCCUGAAGGACUGAAGUGUGCUGAGGUCCUGCUCAGCUGCAGGGCCAGUGUGAGGCGGAGGAAUGCCGCCGGUCAAACGGCGUUUGACACAGCGGCGAGCUCCGGCUGUAACAACAUGGCGUCUCUGCUGGCUGCUCAGACUGGACUGGAUCUACUGGACAAACUGAGGAAACACAAACUGAACCUGGACGUUUGCUGAGCCGACAUAAACUCUGAAAAACAUUGUUUUCUGAUGAAUUAGUUGAAAUAUGUUCGGAUUGAAAACAGCUGAGAACCCGGAUGUUUAGGAAAGAUCAGCUGACAAUUAAAGGUUGAAAUGUUAACAUUUCAUAAUAAAAGCAUGUGAUGUAUUUAGGUGAAUAAUUAUCUGUGUCUAUAGAAAUGUGAGGAGCAUCCUCAGACAGAACAGAACUCUGCUGCCAGGACUCUAACCAGAGUCAACAGGUUGGAACACAUCUGGUUUAGCCUCUUUACACUGACUCUCAGUUUCUAACGAGUUGAAGCUUCUUUUAAUGACUUGUAAAACUCUCAAUGCUCUGACUGCUCCGUUUAUCUUUAAUCCUGGAGAUCCUCUGGCAGGAGACUUUGAACUGAUCCAGAUUCUGAGCUAAACACUUAGACAGAGAUUGAGAAAUAAGGAUCAGAGACUGUGGAACAACCUGCCUGAGGAAAUGCAGCCGGCUGAGUCGGUAACUUCCUUUAAAUCAAAACUUAAAACCUACUUUUAUCGAACCACAUUCCAUGAUCUUACCUAAUUCUAGUUUUAUUAUUGUAAUGUGUGGUCAUGCUUCAAUUUCUGUCAUCUUUAAGAUCAUUGUCCCCUCAGCAGAGAGAGAGAGAGAGAGAGAGAGAGAGAGAGAGAGAGAGAGAGAGAGAGAGAGAGAGACCAGCUGUAGCCCUGGUGUUUAACACACACACAUUUUAAUAUAUUUUAGUAUUUUAACAAAGGACUAAUGGAUUCUUUGUGCUCUUUUUGUGUAUGUAUGUAUUGUUCUGAUGUGUAUGGGUUGUGUGUGACUACUGUUUACAAACCAAACGGUCCCUCGGGGACAGUAAAGACGACCUUAACCUUAACUUAACCUUUAUUCUACUUUUUAGUUUUUCAUUCUUCGUUGAGUGAGUUUGUAUUUGUUAUUUUUGCGAGUU